rnacentral:rRNA from 1 species
UACGAAGGUGGCAAGCGUUGUUCGGAUUUACUGGGCGUACAGGGAGCGUAGGCGGUUGGAUAAGCCCUCCGUGAAAUCUCCAGGCUUAACCUGGAAAGUGCAGAGGGGACUGUUCAGCUAGAGGAUGGGAGAGGAGCGCGGAAUUCCCGGUGUAGCGGUGAAAUGCGUAGAUAUUGUAAGGAAGACCAGUGGCGAAGGCGGGUCUCUGGACAGUUCCUGACGCUGAGGCACGAAGGUCAGGGGAGCAAACGGG